AUUGAACGCUGGCGGCAGGCCUAACACAUGCAAGUCGAGCGGAUGAAGGGAGCUUGCUUCCGGAUUCAGCGGGCGACGGGCGAGUAAUGCAUAGGAAUCUGCCUGGCAGUUGGGGAUAACGUCCGGAAAUGGGCGCUCUUACCGUAUAACUCCAGAGGGAGAAAGUGGGGGAUCUUGGGACCUCACGCCAUUAGACGAGCCUAGGUCGGAUUAGCUAGUUGGUGGGGUAAAGGCCUACCAAGGCGACGAUCCGUAACUGGUCUGAGAGGAUGAUCAGUCACACUGGAACUGAGACACGGUCCAGACUCCUACGGGAGGCAGCAGUGGGGAAUAUUGGACAAUGGGCGAAAGCCUGAUCCAGCCAUGCCGCGUGGGUGAAGAAGGUCUUCGGAUUGUAAAGCACUUUAGGUGGGGAGGAAGGGCAGUAGGUUAAUACCUUGCUGUUUUGACGUUACCAACAGAAUAAGCACCGGCUAACUUCGUG
rnacentral:rRNA from 1 species